rnacentral:rRNA from 1 species
UGGGGAAUAUUGCACAAUGGGGGAAACCCUGAUGCAGCGACGCCGCGUGAACGAAGAAGGUAUUCGUAUCGUAAAGUUCUGUCCUAUGGGAAGAUAAUGACAGUACCAUAGAAGAAAGCUCCGGCUAAAUACGUGCCAGCAGCCGCGGUAAUACGUAUGGAGCGAGCGUUGUCCGGAAUUAUUGGGCGUAAAGGGUACGCAGGCGGUUUAAUAAGUCGAAUGUUAAAGAUCGGGGCUCAACCCCGUAAAGCAUUGGAAACUGAUAAACUUGAGUAGUGGAGAGGAAAGUGGAAUUCCUAGUGUAGUGGUGAAAUACGUAGAUAUUAGGAGGAAUACCAGUAGCGAAGGCGACUUUCUGGACACAAACUGACGCUGAGGUACGGAAGCGUGGGGAGCAAACAGG